GCGCGACGCGGGGCUCGAACCCACAGACCGCGAGAUAGUGACCUGGCUGAAGUCGGACGCUUAACCGACUGCGCCACCCAGGCGCCCCUCUGGGUAUGUUUAAACCCACGUUAGGGGUUACUAAGAAAUAUAUACUGAAUGCACUAUAAACUUUUCACUCUUCUGUGCUUGAAGCAGGUGUUUAAAUAAUCUCACGGAUCUGAGGAAACAGGAAAGAAAUUUAUAUCUCUCUUUUCUCAUAUAUCUCUCUUUUCUCAUAUGCAGUGGUUGGAUGUUUCGAAGUUUGGAAGUUGUUAUUGUAAACCAAAAUUAUUGAAUAUCAAUAGUAUUUUCUUAUAUGUGUUUGAAAAUGGAUAUUUUAAUUUUAUGCCACAGAAACUUGUGUAAUGAUAAACUCUUAGUGGAUUGUUUUCUGAUGCAUUAUACUAUUUUCCCUGAGAAGUCUUUUGAAUGAAGAAAAGGUCUAUCCUGAAUAUUGUAAAAAUUGAUAAAUUUUUGAUAAAUAGCAUGGCAGUGACUUUUACAUCUUUGUCAUAGUUCAAGACCUUUAACUUUGGAUCUCAGUAAAUGUUUGUUGAAUACAGAUAAUUUGGAAAACAGGCAAAAAAGUCAUCCAUAUUUUCAUCAAGAAACACAUCCACCAUUAGCAUUUAUGGGUAUUUCAUUCCCUAUCUUUCCCCCAAGGAUAAUGAAAAUGCUUCCAUGUUAUUAUUAUAAUCUUUGUACCCAUCAUUUCAACUAUGUUUUUUGAAAAUGGAAAUAUCUUCAUAUCCCUUUUCUCAUUAUAAUAUGAAAGAAAUAACAAAUUCAAACCUUAAGAAAUGCAUUAAGUGCAAAAUAAAAAUUCUUUAUAAUUUUACUUCCCAGAGAUAAGGUGUUUAAUAGUUUUAUCUGUCAUUUGAAACACCUACUUAUUAUUCCAUUCAGUGGGUAUAAUUUACUUAGGUUUUUAAUUUAUGUAGGUUUUUCAUUAUUAUUGGAUAUUUAAGAUUUUUCUUCCAAUGUUAGCCAUUAUAAGUAAUACUCUGGUGAAUAUUUCACACAUAAAGCUUUUCCCAUAUUUAUUUCUUUUAGAUAAAUUUUUUCAAAAUGGAAUUAUUGGAUCAAAACCUAUGAAUGAACUCAAGGCCUUUGAAAAAUAUUUUCAAAUUGAUUUCAAAAUGGUAUUUGGGAGAGGAAUUCCUGAGUUACCUGUUUAGAGCCAGCCUGUCAGUUUCUACAGCGAAGUCUGCUGGGAUUUUUAUUGCUAUUAUGAAGAAUCUAUGGAUCAAUUUAGUGAGAAUUGACAUUUUAAGAAUAUUGAGUCUUCUGACCCUGAAACUGGUCCUGCCAGGGUCUGGGUGCUGAAGGGGCCCCAGGAGAAGAGGAAAGAACCAGAGGGAGGAGGCUGAGAAUACUAAAGAAACAUCAUCUCCUUCACAGUUUCCCUUGCAGCCAACCCUAAGUUGGUUCACUGAGAACGGAGCUGCUCGAGAGACAUGGGAAAAAACCUAUGUGCUUGCUGUCAUGCAAAAUGAAAACCAGUGGGUACAGUCACUAUGAGCAUUUCCUUUAGUGCCCAAGUGCAUAGUGGGCUGCCUAGAGCUAUAAUCCUGUGCCAGGACUAUUAUCAGAUAUCUUUUGGAUAUCGAGUCUAAGCAUAGAACUUUGGUUUUGUUGUUGGCAGUGACUUUUUUCUUCUGUGACAUGGUUUUAGGGUUUGGUGUUAGUGACUAUGCACAUCACUAACUUCAUCUGCAGUUCCCAGGGGACACGUCAUUGGAUAAUGCUGUCCCAUACCUAGCAGGCUGGAAUGAGUGACAUGUCCAAAGCUGACCAGAAAUGCUGGACCAGAAAUGCCCAGUAACACUGUUCUGGGAGCAGUCUUCAGCCAAUGGCCGGUGGGUGUUUGGGAACAAAUACCCCACUGCUGCUUCUCCUGUUGGAUGACCUGAGAAUGUAUAUUUUAUACUGUUUCCCCAUUUCCCCAUGGUUUAGGCUGUAGUCACCCCCAACAGUAACUAGCUUGGCGUCAUACCUUUGGUGACUUUUUUCCCUUCCCUCCCUCAUUUCCUGCUCAGCUAUUGGAGGUAAGGCAAUGGGUUUUGCUCAUUCCAAAGUACACUCUAGUAUCUUGUAGUCAUCACUUAAAAACUGCUGGGUUUGACACUGAGAUACCACCUCACGCCAGUCAGAGUGGCUAAAAUGAACAAAUCAGAAGACUAUACAUGCUGGCGAGGAUGUGGAGAAAUGGGAACCCUCUUGCACUGUUGGUGG